GAGAGAACGAAGGAAAGAAAAUGAAAAUGGAGAUUUUGAUUAAAAUUCUUCCAAAAUUCAUAACUUGAGCUAGAGACCUCCAAAUCACUCUGUUCCAAAGCCAAACCUGUGAGAAAUUUCGAGAGGAAUCUAUUGGUACCAGUAUUUCUGAGUGGGGUUCACUGUAGAGAGAGAUCUUCUCCCCCAAAGAAUUCGAAUUUCAUGGAAAAUAUGGGUUUUGAUGGAGCUUGAAGCAAGCUUCUCCCUUCAUUCUAGGUGUACCUAGGGACUGUGAACGUUUGGAUUCUCGUGGAGUAUGAUAAGUAGCUUGUUCUUCAAGUAAGCAGAUUGUAAAGCUCAAAGAGGAACACAGUUAAUUGAAGAGCCUCAUGGGACAAGGACACUAACCGUGGCUAGAGGUACUAGUAUGAGGAUGUGGAGUUCUGGGUGGUCGGAUGCUACUAUUUGUUUUAGACGUAUUUUUGGAAAAGAUGUAUUGUUGCAGAGUGUUCAUAUUCGAUACUUGUACAUUUAUGUAUUC